UGGCAGUGCGUGUUAGCUGGCUGU
rnacentral:piRNA from 1 species